rnacentral:lncRNA from 1 species
UGGAUCUCACUAUCCGUAUUAUGGCUCCUACUACGGAUAGACACGAUGCUGAAGGAACAGAACAUCCUUCUACUGCCAAAGGACUUUCUGGGGCUUGAGGAGAGUGAAACGUUAAAGGCUACAGUAUUUAAAUAUCUUAAUGACUCGUGUAAAGUCAUCCAAAUAAAAUCGGAUCGUUUUA